AUUAUGAAGGUUGAAUCAGGAAGGCAAGAUGAUGUCAAUGGCAAACACUACCUGUUCUGAAAAUUUUCUAGUGUUAUACUAAACAGACCUUUCUUCUUCCAGUCCAGCAUCAGGCACCAGAAUUCAGUUUAGUCCUGAUAAUAUUAUGUAUGGUUCAGGUACGUUAGGGGGCAAAUACACUUUCACGGGGAUCCUAAAAUUUCUUUGGGGGAAAUGUGUGUGUAUUUCACAAACUCAUCAGUAAAUGCCUGGAGUACCACCUGUUCCUAACUUGGGAGCGGUAUAAAAUAAAUUUAUAUACAAUUGAGUUAUUGAUGAGUUAAAAAGAUACUUAAUGUCUAACAACAACAACAACAACAACAAAAACCAAUGGGAAUAAUUUUAGAAAAGGGAGGAGUUGAAAGAAAAAGGUUUGCCAAGACAGGGUAAUAAAUAGGCAAUAGAGACAGGUGAAGAAAAUUGGAAAAAAGCUAGGUCAUGAUGAAAUGUCAUUAAGUCGUUUAAGUCACACAUUUGGUGAUGAAGGAGGAAUUAUCGGUAUAUUUACAAGAUAGAAAAGUUUUUCAAAAAAAGGAAAUUAAUUCUGAGGAUAGGCAGCUGAAAAGGCCUUGGGAGUUAAAAAAAAAUUGUAAGUCACAAGAUAUCUCCCUGGGAGACAGAACUGGAAAACCGCUGAUUUAAAAAAGUUAACUCUUGUCCCCAAGUCUCCCGAAAGACUGUAGACUAGCUUAAUUUAUAUUUACUUCCGUAGAAAAUAUUUCAACACAAAGUUUUCGCAAGGAGACCACAGAGUAAAGCGGUUACAUACUUUUCCAAAAUAAACACUACUAAUUAUAAAAUUUCAUCAAAUAUAAAUGGAGGGCGUUUUCUUUUUCUUUCUUUUCUUUCUCUCUCUCUCUCUUUCUUUCUUUCUCUCUCCCUCUUUCUUUCUUUCACCAGUUUCAAAAUAUUUGAGGAAAGGAAAUAAUUCAUUUCCCUAGGAGGUCCAACUGUGUGUUUCAGAGUUCCUACACCCCGGCCCAGAAAAGCAGACAUAAUCGGAUGUGUGUGCGUAUUUUCUGCGAGGUGCGUCAGCAUUUUAUCAACUUCUCAAAAGUGUCAGUGGCCCUGAGAAGUUCAAAUUCCCGGCACUAGAUUGUCUUUGGGAGUCCCUUUCAGCUCUCAAUGUACCGUAAUCCCAAGAAUCUUUGUUCUUGUAACCUAGCCUGUUUUGAAACCCCUUCUUCCACACAUCUAGGACUGCCAUCCAAGUGAUGCUCUGCGAAGCGGGCUUAGCUGUGGAAGUUCCCCCUGGACCCGGGGCUGGGGAAGGGCAUGAACAGCGCAGCUCCCCGAGUCCGCUCACCACUCCUUACACAGGCAGCGGAGCUGGGGCAGCUCCAAGUGCGCCGAGAAGUGUAAUCCCUCCGCUAAGUACUUGGCUCUCAGUCUCCAAUCACUAGUGGGAGCUGGAGAGGGCAAGUGAAAAAAAAAAAAAAAAAAAAAAAAAUCCAGAGGCAGCCGAGGAGCGAGAGGAAAAAAAAAAAAAGUCCCGCGGCGGCGGCAGAGCGGCCGCGGCGGCCAGAAGUUGACGGUGCAGCGGUCGCGGGGCGCGGGGCGCGGAGUUGGCGUGGGGCCUGCGCGGGGCGCCCGGACAGUUGGGGGGCCGCGGGGACAGCGGCGCUCAGGACGCCGGUGCCGGGAGCUCAGCGGCGGCAACAAUACUAUCCAGCUGGUUUUUGUGGGAGAGCCAGGCACGCGGCAGCCUGUGAAAGCCAGCGACCAGAAAACCACUGCCUACGUGAAACACGACUGUAUCUUCACAGGGCUAUCGAGGACCAGGCUCCAUUCAGCCCUCUUAAAAGGGUCGAAGGUUCAGACUUUUGCUGAAUCACAACACUUCACCGCUGAGCAAUGACAAGAGAGGAAACAAAAAGUUAAAGGAGCAAGCCUGCCAUAAGUGAGGAGAAAACUUACUU